CCAAUAAGACUGGGGAGGAAGCUGAAGACCGAAGAAGAGAACAAAGAUAAAAGCUAAUAGCACUAAAGACAACAGCCAACAUCAACCUUCUUAUCAAGGAUUUGUUCCACCAGCCCCCGUCGUACAAGACCAACAUCGCACUUUCAUGGAAGCCAGCAUCUGCAUCCAGCAAACCAGCAGUUAAUGGGGCUGAAAAACGACACACACCAAUUACUUUUGAUUCAACAAGUCCAAAGAGCAUGAAGGGAGAACGGCAGAUAUAUGCUCCACCGAGAGACAAGUACAGCCAGAGGGCAGGGCAGUACUCUGGUGGCACUUUCCGUGGACGAGGCAGAGGACGAGGGAGAGGAUUUGGGUAUAGCUCAAGCCGUGGGAUGCCCUAUAGAGGUGGUUUCCGAGGAAGGAGAGGAAACUUUAGGGGCUACUAGUCUGCUAAAAAAAAAAAAAAGGAAGAAAGAAAUAAAAAAAAUUAAGGUUAAGAAAUAGAAGAAAAAGUUCUGGAGAGAAAUUAUGGUACAGUGAAUUUUGUGACCUGACCAUUAUUGAUUCGGAAAUUUGCAAACACAAGAGGAUUUUAUAUUCUACAUGAACCUUGUUGGGAUUUUGAUUUUUGAAUUCAGUGUUUGCUGAUUUUAGAGGCUUGCUUUGUUGAUAAAGCUUCAGGUUUAUAUUCGUGUUCUUGGAUGAAAAAGUUUACUGAAGGCAUUAUGGUCUUCAGAUACUUAUAUGCAAAACUUGUAAUUCUAUUUCAUUAAGUGAAUGUUAUAUUUUCAUUUUAUAUUUAUGGUUUUAAUGGAAUUCAAAAAAUCUUGAAAAUUAUCUUUAAUUCUCAUUAUAACAGGAGAAUAGUUAACACUUCAGUUGACUUUAAGUUUGCUUUAAUACUGUAGACAUCAUUUAUGUCUAGUUUAGCUAUGAUUUUGUUUGCUCUGAGUAAUCAUAUGUAUAUAAGCAUUUGUAGAAAAAAUAAUAAUGCAGAAGACAUGGAUAGGAGUCAGAAAAUUAUGGUUUGAAUUUAGAUUGUUGAAAAUAUAAAGAUGUGGAAUCUGUUAACCACAUAUAUGUCAA